GUAGAACCGCCAGUUACGUGGAGACUUCCAGACUUUUACAGACUUGAGUCAGAACAAUCCAACAUGUCCGGCCGGGCUAAUCAAAAUAAUCACAGCAACCAACUCAACCCUACGUCUAGUGCAUUUCAAGGUCACCAACCCGGAUAUGGUGGAACUGGCACACAGGCCGACCUUGCCAACCACAGCAACCAACUCAACCCUAAUUCUUCUGCAUAUCAAGGUCGCCAACCUGGAUAUGGGGGAACCGGCACACAGGCCGACCUUGCCAACCACAGCAACCAACUCAACCCUAACAACCCAAGAUUCCAGUAAGGGAAAAAAUGAGGUUGUCUUUAUCAUAGAUGUGGGCACAUGACAACAAUCCCAGCAUUGUUUUAAACAUUUUUUUUUCAUUUUUAAAUAUGAUACAAUUUGGAUGCAAAAAGAUGAAGAAUAAAGUUUACUACAUCAAAAGAUCAUCUUUAAGACAUAGCAACUACCAUCUAAACAUAUUCAUUCUACAAAGCUCUUCAUUUCUCUUUUUUUAUUUGAUAAAAAAUCCACCCUGUCUUGUUAGUCAAUAAAGUGUGUUUAAUAUUAAAUUUUAGCUCUUAAUU